CUUGGUCAUUUAGAGGAAGUAAAAGUCGUAACAAGGUUUCCGUAGGUGAACCUGCGGAAGGAUCAUUAGUGAAUUGAAUAUGUUAGCGGACCUCUUCGGAGUCCCUAGCAUCAAAUCAUAUCCAUAACACCUGUGAACUGUAAGGCUGUCUUGAAAACGAAAGUGAUUAGAGCGCCUGCCCAUUUUAUACAAACAUUAAAGUAACAAACGUAGUCUUAUUAUAAUCUAAUAAAACUUUCAACAACGGAUCUCUUGGCUCUCGCAUCGAUGAAGAACGCAGCGAAAUGCGAUAAGUAAUGUGAAUUGCAGAAUUCAGUGAAUCAUCGAAUCUUUGAACGCACCUUGCGCUCUUUGGUAUUCCGAAGAGCAUGCCUGUUUGAGUGUCAUGAAGAUAUCAACCUUGACUUGGGUUUAGUGCUCUUGUCUUGGCUUGGAUUUGGCUGUUUGCCGCUCGAAAGAGUCGGCUCAGCUUAAAAGUAUUAGCUGGAUCUGUCUUUGAGACUUGGUUUGACUUGGCGUAAUAAGUUAUUUCGCUGAGGACAAUCUUCGGAUUGGCCGAGUUUCUGGGACGUUUGUCCGCUUUCUAAUACAAGUUCUAGCUUGCUAGACAUGACUUUUUUAUUAUCUGGCCUCAAAUCAGGUAGGACUACCCGCUGAACCUAAGCAUAUCAAUAAGCGGAGGAAAAGAAACUAACAAGGAUUCCCCUAGUAACGGCGAGUGAAGCGGGAAGAGCUCAAAUUUGAAAUCUGGUGGCCUCAGGCUAUCCGAGUUGUAAUCUAUAGAAACAUUUUCCGCGUUGGCCCAUGUACAAGUCUCUUGGAAUAGAGCGUCAUAGAGGGUGAGAAUCCCGUCCUUGACAUGGACUACCAGUGCUUUGUGAUAUGUUUUCAACGAGUCGAGUUGUUUGGGAAU
rnacentral:sRNA from 1 species